UAGUAAAGUGGAAGUUAUAGAUUCUCCUCC
rnacentral:piRNA from 1 species